GGAUUGGGAGGGUUCUACGGAACCCGUUUGGUGAAUCUAGUGCCGAGAAAAGCCUUCUAUGUGUUGAAUUUCUAGUACCCGUACCCCAAACCGACACAGGUGGGUGGGUAGAGCAUACCUAGGGGCGCGUGAUAACUCUCUCUAAGGAACUCGGCAAAAUGGCCCUGUAACUUCGGGAUAAGGGGUGCCUGCGUGAGCAGGCCGCAGUGAAAUGGCUCUGGCGACUGUUUACCAAAAACACAGGUCUCUGCUAAGUCGUAAGACGAUGUAUAGGGGCUGACUCCUGCCCAGUGCCGGAAGGUUAAGGAAGUUGGUUAGCGCAAGCGAAGCUGGCGACCGAAGCCCCAGUGAACGGCGGCCGUAACUAUAACGGUCCUAAGGUAGCGAAAUUCCUUAUCGGGUAAGUUCCGACCCGCACGAAAGGAGUAACGAUCAGAGCGCUGUCUCGGAGAGAGACACGGCGAAAUAGGAUUGUCCGUGAAGAUACGGACUACCUGCACCCGGACAGAAAGACCCUAUGAAGCUUUACUGUAACUUGGAAUUGUGUUCGGACUUUGUCUGCGCAGAAUAGGUGGGAGGCUAUGAAACGUUCCUCGCGGGGAACUGGAGCCAUCGUUGAGAUACCACUCUGGCAGAGUCUGGAUUCUAACCUACGGGGACAGUUCCAGGUGGGCAGUUUGACUGGGGCGGUCGCCUCCUAAAAUGUAACGGAGGCACGCAAAGGUUCCCUCAAGCUGGUUGGAAAUCAGCCAUAGAGUGUAAAAGCAUAAGGGAGCUUGACUGUGAGACCUACAAGUCGAGCAGGGACGAAAGUCGGCUUUAGUGAUUCGACGGCACUGAGUGGAAGGGCCGUCGCUCAACGGAUAAAAGUUACUCUAGGAUAACAGGCUGAUCUCCCCCAAGAGUUCACAUCGACGGGGAGGUUUGGCACCUCGAUGUCGGCUCGUCGCAACCUGGGGCGGUAGUACGUCCCAAGGGUUGGGCUGUUCGCCCAUUAAAGCGGCACGUGAGCUGGGUUCAGAACGUCGUGAGACAGUUCGGUCCAUAUCCGGUGUAGGCGUAGGAGCAUUGAAAGGAUCUCUCCUUAGUACGAGAGGACCGGGAGGGACGUACCUCUGGUGUACCUGUUAUCGUGCCAACGGUAAACGCAGGGUAGCCAUGUACGGAGUGGAUAACCGCUGAAAGCAUCUAAGUGGGAAGCCCACCUUAAGAUGAGUGCUCCCUUGAGGCCACGGGAAGACGACCCGUUUGAUAGGCGCUA
rnacentral:rRNA from 1 species